CCUGCCAGUAGUCAUAUGCUUGUCUCAAAGAUUAAGCCAUGCACGUCUAAGGAUAAAUAUUAUUUAACCAUAAACCUGCGAAAGGCUCAUUAAAUCAGUAAUAAUCUAUUCUAUUAUUUAAUCCUAUUUGGAUAACUGUAGUAAUUCUAGAGCUAAUACAUGCAAAAAACCUGGACUUUACAGAACAGGUGUACUUAUUAGACUUUAAAACCGAUUACAAUUAUUGUAAAUUUAAAAUGAAUUAAAAUAAGUUUAUGAAUCGCAGAUCAUUUUGUGAUGAUAAGAAUGAAUUUCUGCCCUAUCAACUUUCGAUGGUAAUGUAGUGGAUUACCAUGGUGAUGACGGGUAACGGGGAAUUAGGGUUUGAUUCCGGAGAAAAAGGCCUGAGAGACGGCCAUUACUUCUAAGGAAGGCAGCAGGCGCG
rnacentral:rRNA from 1 species